rnacentral:rRNA from 1 species
UACGAAGGGUGCAAGCGUUAAUUGGAAUUACUGGGCGUAAAGCGCACGUAGGCGGUCUGGUAAGUCAGAUGUGAAAGCCCCGGGCUCAACCUGGGAAUUGCAUUUGAUACUGCGAAGCUUGAGUCCCGGAGAGGAGGGUAGAAUUCCAAGUGUAGCGGUGAAAUUCGUAGAGAUCGGGAAGAACACCGGUGGCGAAGGCGGCCAUCUGGACCAGGACUGACGCUGAGGUGAGAAAGCGUGGGGAGCAAACAGG